rnacentral:tRNA from 1 species
GUCGGGAUAGCUCAGGUGGUAGAAGCAGAGGACUGAAAAUCCUCGUGUC